GUGAAACCGUCUGACCCAUUGAAGAUCACACUGGAUGAUCUCUUGGGAUGUAAACAAGGUGGAACUGUUGCGAGCAUGCUGAUAGAUGUGCGUGGCUUCUGGGCUCAUGACAACCGUGAGAACCUUCUUCAAGAAGAAGAAGAACCACCUGAGGAAGAGUCUCAGUGAAUAUAAUGUUAUUUUCCGUGUUGUAUCUAAUCAUCGAGGUCACGUGCGUCGGACAAAGACCAAAAGUCUCCUCUACUCUCCAAUCUGAUGAGUUUGUAUCUUUGUAUAAGAAGCUUAUUUCGUUCAAAAAAAAUAAUGUAUAAGAAGCUUAUUAGUUGUAAGAAAAUGACUGCUGAUAUUGUGUCACUUGACUUUUUACUUGAAAAUCUGAUUUUUUUUUUUUUUUUUUUUUUUUUUUUUUUUUUUUUUUAAAAAUUUUUAUUCCAACCCGAAACCGGGAAUCACAGCGUCCGUUACAAGCUUAAAUCGACCAAAAUGUUCUAAAUCAGACCUAGCUAGACUAACUUCGCUCGCCCACUAAACCGACGCCAUCCGCUAGCUUCGUUCGGAAAUCCUUAGAAUAUCAAGCACCGUUCUUUGCCGUUGAUGUUAACCACUUGAACGUGGGGUUUACCUCUCGGAUGCCGGUAUUCUCGUGACAUCAACAAACUUGCAGAGAUGUUCACCAGAAAUGGAUAGAAGGUGGGAACUAUGAGCUGUGCAUAGAGGACGUUCGGGACGAGAUCUGGGACAUGGUGAAACCGUCUGACCCAUUGAAGAUCACACUGGAUGAUCUCUUGGGAUGUAAACAAGGUGGAACUGUUGCGAGCAUGCUGAUAGAUGUGCGUGGCUUCUGGGCUCAUGACAACCGUGAGAACCUUCUUCAAGAAGAAGAAGAACCACCUGAGGAAGAGUCUCAGUGAAUAUAAUGUUAUUUUCCGUGUUGUAUCUAAUCAUCGAGGUCACGUGCGUCGGACAAAGACCAAAAGUCUCCUCUACUCUCCAAUCUGAUGAGUUUGUAUCUUUG
rnacentral:lncRNA from 1 species